rnacentral:rRNA from 1 species
CACAUAAACCACCUGGGUGCUUCUGGCGGGGAAUAGAGAAAGGGAUGGCGUGCGUGAGGUAGGGGUUGGAAGUCGGCGCGGGGAGGGGUACGGCACAAAGAAGAGAGGGAAGGAGGCGCGACGGCGCUUUGGUGGCGUUUCGUGUGAAGUCGACGCGGGACACUUUCUUGAGAGUACGGUACGACGUUAGGUGUUCAACUCGUCGCCACACAACCUUGGUACCGCUUUGAACGACCUAGGUCGGUCCCUUUUUCGACCUUGGUGCCGGUACUCUACAACGUGUCUACGACGCUGUCCUCCGUGGGGGUCCGGUAUCCAAAAAAAACGACAUUAUUCCCCCGCGCAAAACCGACGUUGGUCGACGCCACAUACAACCUUGGCCGCUCCUUAAAACGAUGUAGACUACAGACAAAAACGACCUUUAGUAGCGUAAAAAUAAAAACGAUGAUGGUCGAACACAAAAAAGACCUUGGGCGUCGGUUAAAACGAUGAUGGUAAAAAACCCCAAACGACCUAACGCGGUAAAAAACGACCUUGGUCAUAGAAAAAAAGCCUUAGUCACAUAAAAAAAAACGAUGGUUGUCGAGGCGACCGCUCGCGGCAGCAGUAGCGUAAUGACAACGUUGGUCUCCCGCUUGUGACACCAGACCCGCCUGCUACCGCUGCUCAGCAAGAACCACAACCCUGGCCGCCACUCCACGUUGCUGAUUACGGCAGCUCCUACGCGCCACGACGGUGGCCACUCCUCGCCGUAGCGCCGCCGCUCUUUCCCCUUCCUGCGUUCCAUACGACCUGCAGCCCCGCUUUAGCCUGCCGGCGUGUUGAGCGUAGUAUGCCGACCCUACGCUGGCCACCGUGGACGUACACAACCUUCGUCCCUAUAAAAAACGACCUUGGACGUACACAAAACGACGAUGACCGUUUAAUUACCUCAAAAAACAAAAAACCGACCCUAAAAAAACGUCCGCUUGUGACACCAGACCCGCCUGCUACCGCUGCUCAGCAAGAACCACGACCCUGGCCGCCACUCCACGUUGCUGAUUACGGCAGCUCCUCCGCGCCACGACGGUGGCCACUCCUCGCCGUAGCGCCACCGCUCUUUCCCCUUCCCGCGUUCCAUACGACCUGCAGCUCCACUUUAGCCUGCCGGCGUGUCGAGCGUAGUAUGCCGACCCUACGCUGGCCGGGUUGCAGUCCCUACUCAUCUCAACGUUCACCUUGUACCUAAUCCUUGUACGUGACGUCGAAGUAAACAUGGGUUCUUUUUUUUUUAGUUUUAGAGUACUCUUCUUCUUCUUCUUCUUACUAAUUUAAAUACCACAUUUUUCAAACGCUCGUGUGGUAUAGCCACACAAACCGACCCUCGUUCGUACGGUUCGGUCGGACGCACUCUAGCAAGUUUGCUAAUAGACAAAAAAAAAGACGGUAAAAAGAAGAAGAAGAAGAAGGUGUUAGGUGUUUACGAGUUAAUGAGUAGUUAUACUUCCCGACUGGUGUGGAUGGCACACCACGAUUGGAACGGGCCCCUCGCUGAAUAUUUGAUCGGGAUGAACUGGGCCGAUUCGCCAUA